UUGAUAACGGGUACAGACCAUGCUCAUCAAUAGGUGCUCUUCUGUGCUCUGUUUUUCUUGUGAUGUUAUUGUAAAUAACGUGAUUUUCCACAUACCCUGCCACUAACAGAGAACUGGAGGUCAGCUCUGCAGAGUCUCAGCAAGCCACCUACAACAAUCCUUUUUCUUCAUCAUCUACAAAGGGAUUUAGUCUUCAGAAACUGUAUCAAACAGCUGCUGUAGCAUGCCCAGAAGGUCACYGAAUUUGGACUAUUUUGGAUCAAAGAGUAAAUUCCAGGUUCCCGGCGCCUGCCGUGAGAACAGCUUGCCUGGUCUGUGUGAGCGCGGGGGUGAUCGAGCACGAGUGCCCUUGCUGACCGCAGCUGCGACGCUACGGCGCGGGGAGCGAGCGCUGAAACCACCCGGCCGGGGAGAGCAGUGCUCCAGCCAGAAACGAAAUCCCGUUGUUGCAGAGGCUGCGCAAGCGGAGCGCGCCUGACCCGCGGCGCUUAUUAACGGGACGAAAGCAGCCGCAGGAAGAUUCUGAAGUGACAUUUUUAGAGGGUUGGGUGUCUCGGCAGAUUUGAAGGUUAUUGCCUCCGAUCGGCCUGCGUUUCCUGGUCUCAUCCCUUUGCUCGCACGGGUUUCGUGCUGCGUUUCGUGCCGGCAGGUGGUUUCUCAGCCACGGCCGCGUUGUCAGGUCUGUUAUCGAGCCCCGGGCAUCGAACGCCCUCGGUCCCCAACACGCUCCCUUCUUUGGGGRCUGCAGGAGCAUCGCCCAAGCGGCGGAGGAGCUGCCGGCACGGUCCGGGCCGUGGCACGAGCCGCCUUCCUGGGCCGUGCGGAGGCAGAUGCGAUACCUCCAGGGUCGUUAGCAGGCAUCGGCGUCGCCUGCUCGGGAUCUCGGUGCUGACGAGGCAGACGGCGUGUGUUCAGAGUUACUCCCGCACGAAGGAACRGUGAACUAGCCCAGGGCAAAGUGCAGGGCUGCUGAUCCCGUCCGCGGACUCUGAAGCAACAGGGCAAAAGAGUGACACGGUGGCUCGCUUGCGAAGGCUUCGCAAGGAAGGUGAAAGGUUGGGCGGCAGCAGCCUGCGUCUGCUGCGCGCGACUUCGUUGCYGGAGAAGUUUGGAGCGCGUGUCCCCGGGGUUCACCGCCGAGCCGGGUCUCUCCCUGGGCCAGCGGGGGGGGGGGUGAACGCUCCCGUCGGAGAAGAGUCGAAGCGGAGGAGGUCGGGUUAAUGCUGGGCUCCCYGCUGGACUCGGAGACCUUGAAACUCCUGCUUUCUGC
rnacentral:lncRNA from 1 species